rnacentral:lncRNA from 1 species
UACUAUUCUGAUUGGUCCACAAAAACGGGAGCUUCACUUUUGCCACCAUGAUAAGCUGUUGAGGAGAUUUCAGUAAAAUGGUGGCGCUCCAACAGCACUUUCACAAAAGAUUCAGGUAGGUCAAUCAUACCCUACAUAUUAUUUUGGAAAUAGUUUCCGUACUCAAGUUGGGCUAAUUAGGAAAUAAAACUCCAGAGCAUUCAAUCUUAUUAAGAGAUUUAAUACAUACUGCNAUAAUUUUAAAAUAAAAAUUAUUUAUUUAUAAUACGUAAAAUAUCAUAUCUACAUAAUUUAAUUUAAUACAAUUUAUAAUUUUAAUAAAAUUUGAAAUUAAACCUUAGAAUAAUACUAUUCCACCAAAAGAAUAAAAUAUUUAUCCCAAGCUGUGUGGGAUAAUCGGAAAUAAUAAGAUUUGACCAUAGUAACAAUAUUCCGACCAAAAAAUACUCCGUUUAGCAAAAUACUCAGAAUAAUUUUCAUUAUCUCCGCUUACCCCCAACCAAACCACACCUCCAAACUAUUGGAUUUAUUUCAGGUUUCACUUUUUGUUCUCAAACAUUUUCAAUUCUACUUGACACCUCCAAACUAUUGGAUUUAUUUCACUUUUAAUUCUUUUCUUAAAAAAAAAAAUAAUUAUCUGCUCCAAGCUCACCCAUACAUUUAUCAACUAAAAUUCAUGGGCUCUCCUUCACAAGCGGUGAAAUUGAAAUAUACGAUGAGACAGAUAUCAGUAGAUGCACCGUGAAUGACCGUACAAAUGCGCCAUGUGUGGGCAAUAGUUUUAUUCAAACAGUAAACAAUAAUAACUAAUAUAAACACCAGAAGGAAAAAAGAAAAUUGAAGUAAAACUAAGAAUUCUUGUGACCAACUAAUUGGAUGGAUCUUUUAUUGCAAUUUGUUGAAUAACACGGAGAUUGAAACAUUGCAAUCUAGCGUCGAGCAACCAUUUAAUGUGACAUAGUAAAACUGGUAGGGCAUACAUAACUACAGUGAUCUAGAAAAUCUCAAUUAAGCAAGCCAAUGAACACGCGCGGCAUCAGAGUGUUUAAUCAUUAGUUGCUGCGCUACCACUCACUCGUUAAAGAUCAUCGCCCUGCAGUGAAUAGACAGUGAAAAAGUCUCAGAACAGAAAUAAGAAAAAUAAUAGUUCGACAAAUUGGCGACAACUUGAACUACAUACUAUACACUUGGUUCUCUUGCAAAGUAUUUAACACUUGAAUGAUCAUUAAGUAUAGAAUAAACCAUCUAAUAUGAAGGUCAACACCAUUCACUGAAAACAAGUGCACUUCUUGUGAAUAGGAAUAACUUGGAGAUUUUUGCUUAUGGGACGUAUCAAAUAUGGGCAAGUGGAAUUAGUCCAAUAAAAGAUUUUGCUCAAUUAUGUCACUAGAAAGACCAAAAGCUUACGACUCUUCGCUAGAGUUUUGAAUAUUUCAGGAUGAUCGAGAAAGACUUUCGAAUUGGGAGCCACAAAACAUGUAGGAAACUAGUUUUAUGUUUUCUAUUUGAUUUUAUUUUUGACCCUUUUUUUCAAAAUUUUCUUCCUUUGCCAUUUUGUUGCUGGGACACUACUGAUGAUGUGCGUGGUUCAGUUUUGUGAGUUGUGAUCAUGUAGAUUCAUAGGUAGGGAACCUCUAAUUAUUGCCACAGUUGAUCUUUUUUCUUUUUAUCAGCUUCUCUAUUCUGAAAAGCAUAAGCUAAAAAUUUGACAAACAAACUAUCUAGAGCCUCUACUAUUCAGAUUGGUCCACAAAAAUGGGAGCUUCACUUUUGCCACCAUGAUAAGCUGUUGAGGAGACUUCAGAAAAAUGUUGGCGCUCCAACAGCACUUUCGCAAAAGAUUCAGGUGGGUCAAUCAUACCCUACAUAAUAUUUUGGAAAUAGUUUCCGUACUCAAGUUGGACUAAUUAGAAAAAAAAAAUUUCCGGAGCAUUCAAUCUUAUUAAGAUAUUUAAUACAUACUACGAUAAUCAAUAUCAUAUCAAAAGAGUUGCAAUGACGCGUGCAUCCAAAUCAAUAAUGC